rnacentral:rRNA from 1 species
UACGGAGGGGGCUAGCGUUGUUCGGAAUUACUGGGCGUAAAGCGCGCGUAGGCGGCUUUGCAAGUCGGGUGUGAAAUCCCCAGGCUUAACCUGGGAACUGCAUUCGAGACUGCAUUGCUAGAGUAUGGGAGAGGGUAGUGGAAUUCCCGGUGUAGUGGUGAAAUGCGUAGAUAUCGGGAGGAACAUCAGUGGCGAAAGCGACUUCCUGGACCAAUACUGACGCUCAUGUGCGAAAGCGUGGGGAGCAAACAGG